GUGUCCAGGGGCGGGAAUCGAACCCACAACCUUCUGCUUACCGGGCAGGUGCCAUGUCCACUAGGACAUGUA